rnacentral:rRNA from 1 species
GACGAACCGAGCAAACGUUAUUCGGAAUCACUGGGCUUAAAGAGUCCGUAGGCGGCGCGUUAGGUGGGGUGUGAAAUCCCUCGGCUUAACCGAGGAAUUGCGCUCCAAACCGGCGUGCUUGAGGAAGGUAGAGGUGAGCGGAACUGAUGGUGGAGCGGUGAAAUGCGUUGAUAUCAUCAGGAACACCGGAGGCGAAGGCGGCUCACUGGGCCUUAUCUGACGCUGAGGGACGAAAGCCAGGGUAGCGAACGGG